rnacentral:rRNA from 1 species
GGACUACCCGGGUAUCUAAUCCCGUUCGCUCCCCUGGCUUUCGCGCAUCAGCGUCAGUGUCGGCCCAGCAACCCGCCUUCGCCGCAGGUGUUCCUCUCGAUAUCUACGCAUUUCACCGCUACACCGAGAAUUCCAGUUGCCCCUUCCGCACUCUAGCCCUGCAGUAUCGGUUGACCGUUCCGAGUUAAGCCCGGAGAUUUCACAACCGACUUGCAGUGGCCGCCUACGCGCCCUUUACGCCCAGUAAAUCCGAACAACGCUUGCUCCCCCCGUAUUACCGCGGCUGCUGGCAC